GACGAACGCUGGCGGCGUGCUUAACACAUGCAAGUCGAACGGAAAGGCCCUGCUUUUGUGGGGUGCUCGAGUGGCGAACGGAUGAGUAACACGUGAGUAACCUGCCCUUGACUUUGGGAUAACUUCAUGAAACUGGGGCUAAUACCGGAUAGGAGCUCCUGCUGCAUGGUGGGGGUGGGAUAGUUUCGGCGGUUGGGGAUGGACCCGCGGCUUAUCAGCUUGUUGGUGGGGUAUUGGCUUACCAAGGCGUUGACGGGUAGCCGGCCUGAGAGGGUGACCGGCCACACUGGGACUGAGAUACGGCCCAGACUCCUACGGGAGGCAGCAGUGGGGAAUAUUGCACAAUGGGCGGAAGCCUGAUGCAGCAACGCCGCGUGCGGGAUGACGGCCUUCGGGUUGUAAACCGCUUUCGCCUGGGACGAAGCGUGAGUGACGGUAAUGGGUAAAGAAGCACCGGCUAACUACGUG
rnacentral:rRNA from 1 species